CUACGGGAGGCACCAGUGGGGAAUAUUGCACAAUGGGCGCAAGCCUGAUGCAGCAACGCCGCGUGAGGAAUGAAGGCCUUCGGGUUGUAAACCUCUUUUAGCAGGGAAGAAGCGAAAGUGACGGUACCUGCAGAAAAAGCACCGGCUAACUACGUGCCAGCAGCCGCGGUAAUACGUAGGGUGCAAGCGUUGUCCGGAAUUAUUGGGCGUAAAGAGCUCGUAGGCGGUUUGUCACGUCUGCUGUGAAAAUCCAAGGCUCAACCUUGGACUUGCAGUGGGUACGGGCAGGCUAGAGUGCGGUAGGGGAGAUGGGAAUUCCUGGUGUGGCGGUGGAAUGCGCAGAUAUCAGGAGGAACACCAAUGGCGAAGGCACACCUCUGGGCCGUAACUGACGCUGAGGAGCGAAAGCGUGGGGAGCGAACAGGAUUAGAUACCCCGGUAGUC
rnacentral:rRNA from 1 species